rnacentral:lncRNA from 1 species
AAAAACAUAAAAUAUAAUUUAGAAAUACAUAUUACAAAGUGAUGGAAUUUUAAAUGCAAACUGUAAUUAAAAAUAUACACUUAUGUAAUGCUUGAUCAUUUUAAAAAAUGCAAAUGACAUUAAAUAUAAAUUAUGCUAGAGUAAUACCAAGAAUUUUUCUUUUAUCACUUAUUCAAUUAUUCCCUCCCCCGAAUUCUUGUCUCUCUCUUUAGAACUAUGAAAGAGACAUUAGUUUCUGGAUCUAUAGUCUCUAAAAUCAUAUUCCCCCAAUCCUUGUUCUUUUUGGAAUAAUUUUUUCAGCUUACUUUUGCAGUUUUGCUAAUUUGCACUUCAUCAAAGUCCAUUUGCUGUUUCAUUCAUCUUUUAAUUUUCACAAUCUUUAACUGGUUCUUUUUCAUAAGUUAGUUCUCCUUUCAUGAUGCA